UCCAUGCCGUAAACGAUGAGUGCUAGGUGUUGGAGGGUUUCCGCCCUUCAGUGCCGGAGCUAACGCAUUAAGCACUCCGCCUGGGGAGUACGACCGCAAGGUUGAAACUCAAAGGAAUUGACGGGGGCCCGCACAAGCGGUGGAGCAUGUGGUUUAAUUCGAAGCUACGCGAAGAACCUUACCAGGUCUUGACAUCUUGCGCUAACCUUAGAGAUAAGGCAUUCCCUUCGGGGACGCAAUGACAGGUGGUGCAUGGUCGUCGUCAGCUCGUGUCGUGAGAUGUUGGGUUAAGUCCCGCAACGAGCGCAACCCUUGUUACUAGUUGCCAGCAUUAAGUUGGGCACUCUAGUGAGACUGCCGGUGACAAACCGGAGGAAGGUGGGGACGACGUCAGAUCAUCAUGCCCCUUAUGACCUGGGCUACACACGUGCUACAAUGGACGGUACAACGAGUCGCAAGCUCGCGAGAGUAAGCUAAUCUCUUAAAGCCGUUCUCAGUUCGGACUGUAGGCUGCAACUCGCCUACACGAAGUCGGAAUCGCUAGUAAUCGCGGAUCAGCAUGCCGCGGUGAAUACGUUCCCGGGCCUUGUACACACCGCCCGUCACACCAUGGGAGUUUGUAACGCCCAAAGUCGGUGGCCUAACCUUUAUGGAGGGAGCCGCCUAAGGCGGGACAGAUGACUGGGGUGAAGUCGUAACAAGGUAGCCGUAGGAGAACCUGCGGUUGGAUCACCUC
rnacentral:rRNA from 1 species